rnacentral:rRNA from 1 species
GAACUGAAGAGUUUGAUCAUGGCUCAGAUUGAACGCUGGCGGCAGGCCUAACACAUGCAAGUCGAGCGGAUGAAGGGAGCUUGCUCCUGGAUUCAGCGGCGGACGGGUGAGUAAUGCCUAGGAAUCUGCCUGGUAGUGGGGGAUAACGUCCGGAAACGGGCGCUAAUACCGCAUACGUCCUGAGGGAGAAAGUGGGGGAUCUUCGGACCUCACGCUAUCAGAUGAGCCUAGGUCGGAUUAGCUAGUUGGUGGGGUAAAGGCCUACCAAGGCGACGAUCCGUAACUGGUCUGAGAGGAUGAUCAGUCACACUGGAACUGAGACACGGUCCAGACUCCUACGGGAGGCAGC